CCAAGCCUAUAACCGGUACGGGCCGUGAGAGCGGUAGCCCGGAGAUGGGCACUGAGACAAGGGCCCAGGCCCUACGGGGCGCAGCAGUCGCGAAAACUCCGCAAUGCACGAAAGUGUGACGGGGCUACCCCGAGUGCCGUCCGCUGAGGAUGGCUUUUCCUCGGUGUAACUAGCCGGGGGAAUAAGGAGAGGGCAAGACUGGUGUCAGCCGCCGCGGUAAUACCAGCUCUCCGAGUGGUAGGGAUGAUUAUUGGGCUUAAAGCGUCCGUAGCCGGCUUAGCAAGUCUCCUGUUAAAUUCAGCGACCUAAUCGUUGAGCCGCGGGAGAUACUACUAGGCUAGGAGGCGGGAGAGGUCGACGGUACUUUCGGGGUAGGGGUGAAAUCCUAUAAUCCCGGGAGGACCACCAGUGGCGAAGGCUGUCGACUAGAACGCGCUCGACGGUGAGGGACGAAAGCUGGGGGAGCGAACCGGAUUAGAUACCCGGGUAGUCCCAGCUGUAAACGAUGCGGGCUAGGUGUUGGGGUGGCUACGGGCCACUUCAGUGCCGCAGGGAAGCCAUUAAGCCCGCCGCCUGGGGAGUACGGCCGCAAGGCUGAAACUUAAAGGAAUUGGCGGGGGAGCACAAGGGCGAAUUCGCGCCCCGCAAUG
rnacentral:rRNA from 1 species